UUUUAAUUAGUCUAUUUUAAAACAUUAUAUUUUCAAUAUAAAAAAGAAUUUUUUUUAUUCAUUAAAAA
rnacentral:tRNA from 1 species